UUUCUAUUCUAUUAGAAAUAGAAGUGAAGGUGGUUAAUCAGGAAAUAGAAGAAUACAUUGGGUUGAAUCUGAAACAAUCUGAGACCAGUGAGUAUGAAAGUGUUAUUGUUGAUUAGAGAUUCGCAGUAUCUUAUUUUAAGGAAUAUGAAACAUGUGUGCUCUUGCUGAAUCAAAUUCGAAAGGAUGUUUGUUGAUUUUCAAAAAUGCAGAUGGAAGAAUAGGUCCUGUUGCAGAUAAUGAAGAUGUGGAAGAACUUUUCUCGCAGUGCGAUCCUGAUUUUCGGGUUCGUAAAUUCUAUGAAUGUUGAAGAUGAGGAAGAUGUCGUAUCUAGAAGUAUAACGAGAAUCCAUACUUUACAAACUGAAGUCUCACAAAGAGAAUCACAUUCUGUAAAUAUGGAACUACCAAUUUAAGUGUUGUUAAGAUCGACUGGAAGGAUGGCAUGGUCGCUCUUCUAGACAACGAGACACCUGUGAGAAAAGAUCUAUUUCUUGCAUCAGUGAAUCAUAUGCAGAGGUAGUGAUGUGCGAUCUUAGACCAAGUUCACAGCUGAAGUCGGCAUGUAAUUCCGCACUAAUGAAAGUCACAGUUGAGUAUUUGUUCUUAAUCUGCCUGUAUUUGAUUGUUGUCGGCUGGAUUUCCUUAAGGAUAUACUCUGAUCCAUGUUUCUUUUACAGUCAUUCUUUGAUUUGGAGAACACAAACAAUCAACUUAAAAGUGAAUUUAAAGGACCUUUACCAUAACUUAGCAGUGAUAGGAAACACAGUCUCUGUGUUUUUACUAUGUUUAUCAGUUUUCACAAUUCACAAAUCCGAUACUUGUCUCAUUAUCUUGCUGCCAACAUCAUAUCAAUAGCUAAUAGCAACUGCGCAACUUUAACAUUAUUUGCAUCUAAACUGUGCAAGACAACUACAUUAAAGUUUGGCAAGGCUAUUUGGGGAUGAGGCAAACCAGGACACUCGACUCCGAGAAAAGCAAUUUGGUGCUUCUAGGUAUUGAGAUUGUGCAGCAGUUCGCAGGGCCAUGCGGGAUGGUAUUGUUGCUGGCUUGCUGCUAAUACUGCAGCUGAAUAAGCAUUGAUACUUGUUAGCCUAGAAAACUCUAAGAAACUCCUACUAAACUCCCCUCAUAGUUUUCUAAAUGUUCUCUUUUAAUGUAUGUGAUAAUACCUUGUCAUUUUCAAUUUUGGCUUGUAAUUUUUUCUGGUGAAUAAUGGUGAAAUGGACUGAUUUUUCCUGAAAUCUGUGUAAUUUCAAGUCGACGAACAACAAUUGUUGCUUAAUAUUCCAACUAACUGAACAAGGUUCCAGACCCACUAUAUCUACUUGAUGCAGGUGCUUGCUUUUAAAUAUGGAAGGCACUAUAAAGUUAGGGUAAACACUA